rnacentral:rRNA from 1 species
CGCAUUAGCUAGUUGGUGAGGUAAUGGCUCACCAAGGCAACGAUGCGUAGCCGACCUGAGAGGGUGAUCGGCCACACUGGGACUGAGACACGGCCCAGACUCCUACGGGAGGCAGCAGUAGGGAAUCUUCCGCAAUGGACGAAAGUCUGACGGAGCAACGCCGCGUGAGUGAUGAAGGUUUUCGGAUCGUAAAGCUCUGUUGUUAGGGAAGAACAAGUACCGUUCGAAUAGGGCGGUACCUUGACGGUA